AAGCCCCUGCAAUGUGCGUGAUUGUAUGACAGUCUUUGUCCUAACGCAUAGUAAAAAGGGAGUUCACUCUGAUACUGGUGUGCUAGGUUCCGCAUUGUAUGGAAAAGCCUGAAGGUAUUAUUGGACACCCAACUUUUUGAACCCUUGGUUCAAAGCCUUAAAAAGCAACACGGCAGUCUGUGGGGGUAAU
rnacentral:other from 1 species